rnacentral:rRNA from 1 species
GUAGGGAAUAUUGGUCAAUGGACGAAAGUCUGAACCAGCCAUUCCGCGUGCAGGAAGAAGAUUCUAUGGAUUGUAAACUGCUUUUAGCAGAGAAGAAACGCCUUCAUUGAUGAGGGUUUGACGGUAUCUGCGGAAUAAGCACCGGCUAACUCCGUGCCAGCAGCCGCGGUAAUACGGGGGGUGCAAGCGUUAUCCGGAAUCACUGGGUUUAAAGGGUGCGUAGGCGGGAAAUUAAGUCAGUGGUGAAAGUCUGUUGCUUAACGAUAGAAUUGCCGUUGAUACUGAUUUUCUUGAAUUGGGUUGAGGUUAGCGGAAUGUGACAUGUAGCGGUGAAAUGCAUAGAUAUGUCAUGGAACACCAAUUGCGAAGGCAGCUAGCUGGGCCUUGAUUGACGCUGAGGCACGAAAGCGUGGGUAGCGAACAGGAUUAGAAACCGGGUAGUCC